GCUAACAGCUGUUAUUCAGUAAAAACUAAAAUGGUGACUUUCAUCAUUUACCAAGCUAGUGUUAUUCACUGACGAAGUAAAAAAAAGCAUUUACAUCCCAUUCAUUUGUUCUGUCAUAACUGAAAAGUGUCACCUCAGACUCUGUUUUAAGGAAUGCAUUUGCCUCUACUUUCCAUUCUUCUUUGCCAAACCGUCCUUUAAUCUUUCCAGGCAGUUACACGUCGCCUGCAAGAAACUCCCCCAGGUGUCGUGUGUCACCUCGACCGGAUAAUCAAAUCUGCCCUGUUUUUUUACUACUCAUUCCCAAAUGUUCUCCAAAGAGAGACGUUCUCUACCAAUAGUUUCAAGUGAAGUGAAGCUUUCAGAAUGUCCUGUGUGUGGAUAUGGUUGAGCCUGUUCUGUGCUCUACAAACCAGUGUCUCAUCAGACGAAAUGGUGUCACUUAAUUGCAGUAACCCUCACAAUGUUACAGUUGGAGAAAAACUGACUCUAAAUUGUUACAUAAAUUCAAAAGGGGGCUCAGACUGUAGAGCUCUAAAUUAUUCCUGGAUGAACCAAAAUCAUACCAAACUCUGUGGCUUGCCAGAAUACAGCUGUAAAUGGGAUCCCCCGAACAGCUUGUCACUGACCAUCUUAAGUGUCCAAAGAGAGGAAAAUGUCACAGCUGCAGUCGUGUUAGCGUGUGGUAUGGAUCAAUUUUCUAUCAGCGUCCACUUACGGAGUGGACCAGCUCCAACACUAGGUUACAUCAUUAGGCCCGAGGAGUCAAAACACGUGACAACCAUUGUACUUUGUGUUUUUGCCUCUGCUGUUGCUGUAUUAAUUUUGUAUUUCCUGUAUAGAACUUACAGACGCAGAGUAAGUGACAGGACAGGGACAUACACUGCACCAGUCAGUAAAGACUUAACAGCUGUCUGACAAAUUCAGAUUUUGAUUUUUGUCAGUAUGUAGCAGAACAUAAAUGCAUAUAUUUGCUGUUUGUGAAAAAUUCGGCUCAUCAGUUACCGCAGCUGGCUCUGCACAUAGAGAAUAAUUUUUAGAAUUCUUUGAUGCAGCCUAAUAUGCAUACAAUAGUAGGAUGUGAAUAAUAGAGCAUUCCACGUGACUUUAGUUUGCUGAGUAGAAGGGAAAGACUAUGGGUCAAACUUGGGAAUGUGAAUUUCCUGCCUGAUGAAUAAAAAUUUAAGAAAAAAUAGGACUGUACCUGUAUGUGUUGUAAAACUGAGUCUAAUUAAUGUCCACAGAGUUGACUACUCAUCCAUGUUCUCAUAAUGUAAAGUGAUGAGAAGUUGGAUUACCUACUUACUCUGUAAAUCCAUUGAUGUUUGUCCACCUUGACUUCUUCACAUAAUUCUGAUCACAGCUCACAGUAAAAGUCAUCCAGCAGUUGCUUUAGACUGUGAUGGACGGAUGGACAUUACAUAUCAAAAGGGGAUGUCAUGGUGGAAGCAUAAUUAUUAAUCAGUACAGUCUACAUUUAUACACUGAAUGCAGCAUUGUAAACAUGUUAUUAUGGAAACAAUGUGAUUCCUCUGAGACAACUCUUCCUCUGUUUCAUCUUUUUUUUUACCAUUUCUUUCUGUGUAUAUGUGUCAUUUGAAAGUGAAAAUCAUAAUGAAAAUAGGAAUCAUAAGAGAAUGUACCGUGAAACUGAGAACUGUGAAAAGUGAUUAAUAUCCUGUAUAUGCUGCUUGUACAGAUUGACUGUAAAUCAAACAGUUUUCAUACAAUGGAACAUCUUUUCAAAUAAAGAUAUGUCAGUAACAAA